CACGUAGGCGGAUUGGUCAGUUAGGGGUGAAAUCCCAGGGCUCAACCCUGGAACUGCCUUUAAUACUGCCAGUCUUGAGUAUGGAAGAGGUGAGUGGAAUUCCGAGUGUAGAGGUGAAAUUCGUAGAUAUUCGGAGGAACACCAGUGGCGAAGGCGGCUCACUGGUCCAUUACUGACGCUGAGGUGCGAAAGCGUGGGGAGCAAACA
rnacentral:rRNA from 1 species